rnacentral:rRNA from 1 species
CCUACGGGAGGCAGCAGUGGGGAAUAUUGGACAAUGGGCGAAAGCCUGAUCCAGCCAUGCCGCGUGUGUGAAGAAGGCCUUCGGGUUGUAAAGCACUUUCAGUGGGGAAGAAAGCCUUGGGGCUAAUACCCUCGAGGAAGGACAUCACCCACAGAAGAAGCACCGGCUAACUCCGUGCCAGCAGCCGCGGUAAUACGGAGGGUGCGAGCGUUAAUCGGAAUUACUGGGCGUAAAGCGCGCGUAGGCGGUCUGAUAAGCCGGUUGUGAAAGCCCCGGGCUCAACCUGGGAACGGCAUCCGGAACUGUCAGGCUAGAGUGCAGGAGAGGAAGGUAGAAUUCCCGGUGUAGCAGUGAAAUGCGUAGAGAUCGGGAGGAAUACCAGUGGCGAAGGCGGCCUUCUGGACUGACACUGACGCUGAGGUGCGAAAGCGUGGGUAGCAAACAGGAUUAGAUACCCCGGUAGUC